rnacentral:rRNA from 1 species
UACGAAGGGGGCUAGCGUUGCUCGGAAUCACUGGGCGUAAAGCGCACGUAGGCGGAUCUUUAAGUCAGGGGUGAAAUCCCAAGGCUCAACCUUGGAACUGCCUUUGAUACUGGGGAUCUCGAGUCCGGAAGAGGUUGGUGGAACUGCGAGUGUAGAGGUGAAAUUCGUAGAUAUUCGCAAGAACACCAGUGGCGAAGGCGGCUAACUGGUCCAUAACUGACGCUGAGGUGCGAAAGCGUGGGGAGCAAACAGG